CUCAGAACGAACGCUGGCGGCGUGCCUAACACAUGCAAGUCGAGCGCGAACGUCCCUUCGGGGAUUAGUAGAGCGGCGCACGGGUGAGUAACACGUGGCUAACCUACCCUUCAGUCUGGGAUAACGCGGGGAAACUCGCGCUAAUACCGGAUACGUUCCACGGAGGAAAGUGGGGGCUCUCUUCGGAGACCUCACGCUGAAGGAUGGGGCCGCGGUCCAUCAGGUGGAUGGUGGGGUAAUGGCCUACCAUGCCAAAGACGGAUAGCUGGUCUGAGAGGAUGAUCAGCCACACUGGAACUGAGACACGGUCCAGACUCCUACGGGAGGCAGCAGUGGGGAAUCUUGCGCAAUGGGCGAAAGCCUGACGCAGCAACGCCGUGUGUGCGAUGAAGGCCCUCGGGUCGUAAAGCACUGUCAGUAGGGAAGAUGGUUUUCCUGGCUAAUAUCCAGGGGGAUUGACGGUACCUACGGAGGAAGCACCGGCUAACUCCGUGCCAGCAGCCGCGGUAAUACGGGGGGUGCAAGCGUUAUUCGGAAUUAUUGGGCGUAAAGGGCGCGCAGGCGGCCUGUUAAGUCAGUUGUGAAAGCCCGGGGCUUAACCCCGGAAGUGCGAUUGAUACUGGCAGGCUUGAGUAUGGGAGAGGGAAGUGGAAUUCCUGGUGUAGAGGUGAAAUUUGUAGAUAUCAGGAGGAACACCGGUGGCGAAGGCGACUUCCUGGACCAAUACUGACGCUGAGGCGCGAAGGCGUGGGGAGCAAACAGGAUUAGAUACCCUGGUAGUCCACGCAGUAAACGGUGAUCACUAGGUGUAGCGGGUAUUGACCCCUGCUGUGCCGGAGUUAACGCAUUACGUGAUCCGGCUGGGGAGUACGGNCGCAAGGUUUAAACUCCAAGGAAUUGACGGGGGCCCGUACAAGCGGUGGAGCCUGUGGUUUACUUCGACGCAAC
rnacentral:rRNA from 1 species